GGGCUCACUUCAGCAGCACGUACGCUAAAAUUAGAAUGAUACCGAGAAGAUUAGCACGGCCCAGCGCAAGGAUGACACGCAAAUUCAUGAAGCGUUCCAUAAUUUU